rnacentral:rRNA from 1 species
AUAUCAAUAAGCGGAGGAAAAGAAACCAACAGGGAUUGCCUCAGUAACGGCGAGUGAAGCGGCAAAAGUCCACCUUUGAAGUAUUGACGUGGUUGGGAGAGGCAAUGUGCACAAGUCGCCUGGAACGGCCGCCAAAGAGGGUGAUAGCCCCGUAGCACGGUCAACCUUCCCAGCCGACAGAGUCGAGUUGUUUGGGAAUGCAGCUCUAAAGGUGGUAGGGUCCAUCAAAGACUAAAUAUCAGCGAGAGACCGAUAGCAAACAAGUACAGUGAUGGAAAGAUGAAAAGAACUUUGAAAAGAGAGUGAAACAGUGCGUGAAAUUGGGGGGAGGGAAGGCAAGGCCACGACAAGUGGUCCUGCGC